rnacentral:rRNA from 1 species
UCGAGGAUCUUCGGCAAUGGGCGAAAGCCUGACCGAGCGAUGCCGCGUGCGCGACGAAGGCCUUCGGGUUGUAAAGCGCGAAAGUGGGGAGAAAACCGAAAGGCUGAUCUAUCCACAGUAAGCUCGGGCUAAGUUCGUGCCAGCAGCCGCGGUAAGACGAACCGAGCGAACGUUGUUCGGAAUCACUGGGCUUAAAGGGCGCGUAGGCGGGCUGUCAAGUCUGGGGUGAAAUCCCGCGGCUCAACCGCGGAACUGCCUCAGAUACUGACGGUCUCGAGGGGGGUAGGGGCGAGCGGAACUGAUGGUGGAGCGGUGAAAUGCGUUGAUAUCAUCAGGAACUCCGGUGGCGAAGGCGGCUCGCUGGACCCCUUCUGACGCUGAGGCGCGAAAGCCAGGGGAGCAAACGGG